CCCUUAGAUGUUCUGGGCCGCGCGCGCUACACUGAUGCAUUCAACGAGUUUCUUCCUGGUCCGAGAGGAAUGGGUAACCUUUUGAAAGUGCAUCGUGAUAGGGAUAGACUAUUGCAAUUAUUGGUCUUCAACGAGGAAUUCCUAGUAGACGUAGUUCAUCAGACUGCAUCGAUUACGUCCCUGCCCUUUGUACACACCGCCCGUCGCUCCUACCGAUUGAAUGCUCAGGUGAGCCAUUCGGACUUUCAUCAUGCUGGUUUCCAGUUUUGAUGAAGGAAAGUCUUGCGAACCUUAUCAUUUAGAGGAAGGAGAAGUCGUAACA
rnacentral:rRNA from 1 species